GGCAUUUAAUCGACUUGAUGAAGAGCCUUUGCUGCUGGGAGAUAGGGGCUCAAAUGCAGUGAACCUGGAAGCUGACAUUGAAAAUUUAAAGCGACGAAAUGCAAAACUCGAACGAUUGAUUCAUAAGCUUGGUUCCAAGGAAGAUGGUCGAAGCUUCAACACACAGAUUACUCGGGAAGUUUCAGAGACAACGAGAUUGGCCA
rnacentral:ribozyme from 1 species